GGUGGCAUGAAAUUGGCUACUGCUCCAGAACGAUGGAAUAUCUGAUAUUUGUGUUUGGCUCAUCAACAACAUGCUAUUGGGAACCCACAGUACGGUUGUGCGCAUUUCGAAAUGAAAGCCGUCGUAAAGCUAAAGGAUAUAUAUGCGUCGAAGUAGAAAUAAAAUCAGAUAGUAAAACGAAUCAUUUCCAGUCAGGUAAGCCUUAUGAAUGAUAAGAGAUGCACAUUAUAUUUUAAUUUGAGUUUUUACUGUAUAGUGUUCGCUAUUAACUUCGCUUUAUUAAAGUGUUUGUGCGCGUAUGUACAGUAUACCUGCAUGUAUUGAAAUUAAUACGCGAAUUAUGAUACGCGCGUAUAUAUAUCGUGUUUUAUAGCGCGCUAAUAUUUGUUUGUAAUGCGUAUAUAUUCGUAAGAUACGCGUAUUCAUAUCAUAAUACGCGCGUUCAUAUGAUAUGCGUAUUCGUAUGAUACACGCGUUCGUAGAUGAUACGCGCAUUUCGGUAUUCAAUUGAUAAUGAUAUGCGUAUGAUACGAGUAUCACACCUAUAUCGUAUGUUAAAAUAUACGCGAGCAAUAGUUUACAUUUUGAGAUCAUUUCGGCUUAUUUUUGCUUGAGAAAUGAAUA